rnacentral:ncRNA from 1 species
CAGAGUAGAAUUUUGUGCGUAACGCUUAAGCGUAUAGUGCCGUCUGAACGGGGAGUUGUCAGUCGGACGAAAAGGUAAAUCCUGCGGUGCAAAAUUCGCAUCCCGCUG